CUUUCCUGAAUAGGUGGUUACCACUGCCAUGUAAGGUAGUAAAAGGUAUUUUCACAAAGGGUGUGGGAAAGAGAUCUUUGCCUGUAAAAUAACUGAAUAUUUAGUCAAAGUUCCCAUGCGAUUCAGAAGCUAAGUAAGGUGAUAGUUUCUUAGCUGACAGUAUGCAGUCCAAUUUGUUGAGGCAUAUUCUGAUCUUCAGGAUAAACUUUAAACACUUUAAAAUAUAAUAAACUGGUAAGACUUCCUUUGUGUAAAUGCAGUGAUAAUAGCUUUUGGUGUGCUGGAGUGUGGAACACUUCCAAUAUAAUUGUAUAUGAAUGAAUUGAUUGGUGUGACAAUGAUAAACUGUUUAUCGUGUGACAUUUAAUGUGUUUAGGUUCUGCAAGCAUGCAUUUUUCAUAUUGAAAAGAAAGGCCAGGAGGGAUAAAGAGAACUUUUAGUUUGUCUCCUUUAGAGAAAAAAAAUUAAAUAAAAAUGAGAUCUUCAUUUCCAUAUAUUUCCAGUAUACCUUUCUGUUGCUGAAAGCUAUAUGGAGAUAAAAAUUGGAAUAACAAUACCAAUUUCAUGUUGAACUUUUAAAGUGGCAUUUAUGAUCCUGUCAUUAGUCAUGCAGCUUUAUUUUUCCAGGUGUGUUAUGUUCUGAGUUUACUGUCUUGUCUUCCGACUUGACUGACACAAACACAUUUCAAGCAAGAAGUAAAUUGGGAUUUCUACACUGGCCUUCAAAAAUAUGUUAACGUAUCUCGGGAUAACAGGUGGUGGUGAAAAACACAAACUGGUAGUGAUAGAAAACACAGGUGUGCCAUUUUUUCCCCUAGACUUUCUUCCAGGAGUGAGAAUAGUGUUCACUAUCAAAUGUACUUUUUCCAUAUACACUGUUGAAAUUUUGCGUCUCCUGGUGAAGUGAUGCAGUGCUGUUUUGAUAAGCAGCUGCAUUCUUACAUAAAUCCAUACGGUGUGAACAAGACCACUGUAAUGACUGGGAAGUAGAGCCUUGCUUAAGACAGACGUUUGAAGGAACUUGAUCUAGGAAAAUGCAAACUGAGAAAGAUCGUGCAAGGGCUUUACAAAUACGAUUUUGUGCUUAAACACCUAAGAGAAGGAAGCCCUUGAAGGUAAGAGCAGAUGAGCAAAUGUGUGUAGAUUAGUCCCGAGUAGUUUGAGACUGAAAAUUAGAAGAUUUCAGGCCAGUUUACUUCUGAGAUUCUGGACCAGCUGUCUGUAAAAAGUUGUGGGACAGAAAAAAAAAAAAGCUACCUUGUCUUGAGGAUUUCCAAGAGUUUGAUCUUUUUAUUAAAAUAGUGUGAAACUUUGCUGCCUUCAAGAAUGGGGCCUUUAUCCCCGAUAAUCACUUCAAUCAAAUACAAUGCUUGAGAUAAAAUGCUCUAGGAUAAAGAAAUAUUAGGGAAAGAAAAGACACAUUUUAUGUCAAUAGAAACUCAUCUGCUUGGCUCUCUGUCUGAUACAGUGGCCUUUUUAUAAUCUCAUACAGAUGUCACUACAAUGAAAGGUAAUGAAGCAGUAUUAAUCCUAAUAUGAUGUUUCCAAAGAUCACUGAUCAGAAACCUGUAGAGCAUCAUCUAAAGAGUGGUGACUGCAGAAUUCUAAGCGGUUGUCCUUAAAAGUAGGUGUUUUAUGCCAAAUUUGGAGUUGAUAAAAAUAACU